rnacentral:lncRNA from 1 species
AUUAUGACAAUUCUCUAAAUCCAGAGAGCUGACAUCCCAGAGGAGAUGGGUGUCACUAUGAAGAGAUGCACAGUUAUAGUGAAUCCCCUCAAGGAACCCAGCUGAGAAAUUCAACCCCAUCAAUAUAGGAAAGAAAAAGGAGAAGUUCUGUGUUGCCAAAUGGUGGGGAAAUGAAAGGUAACUGGCUAUUCUUCAAACCAUCCAUAGUCACAAACUGCCCACAGUCUGAGGUGUUACACAGACUUCCGUUGCCAGAUGAGGUUAGGUUUGCGUGUCCUCACUUCCUCAAAAAAAGUGAUUAUUCAGGACAGUGGGUCAUUUGUUGAAAUCUGACAUCUGUUAGAAGAGAAAUACAUCUGCAGAGUAUACAUGAGGACAGGCAUUUCUUGCUCAGUACCUGAAGCCCAAAAGGAUGAGUUGAUUCUUUAAGAAAAUAGCAUUACACUUGCAUCAAACCCAGCUGCUUUGAUUCAGCAAGCCAUGACAGUUAAAAAUAGGAAUAUCACUAAUUUUUCAGAUGGUAUCUAUAUUUCUGAAAAAGAAGAGAUCAGCAGGCUUAUAAAUAA